rnacentral:rRNA from 1 species
UACGGGGGGGGCAAGCGUUGUUCGGAAUUACUGGGCGUAAAGGGCUCGUAGGUGGCCAACUAAGUCAGACGUGAAAUCCCUCGGCUUAACCGGGGAACUGCGUCUGAUACUGGAUGGCUUGAGUUUGGGAGAGGGAUGCGGAAUUCCAGGUGUAGCAGUGAAAUGCGUAGAUAUCUGGAGGAACACCGGUGGCGAAGGCGGCAUCCUGGACCAACACUGACACUGAGGAGCGAAAGCCAGGGGAGCAAACGGG